rnacentral:lncRNA from 1 species
UAUGAUCACCAUUAUAAAUCAAAUUAAUUUAUAUAUUGCCAAAUAAUCUCUUAACAAUAAGUUUGUGAUACAUACAAAAAAAGUAGACAAUAUAACUGAAAUUCACACACUCAUAUAUAUGUAUAAACAAUAAUUAAAUUACAGUAAAGAGUCCAGUGUUCCCUGUCGUCAGCUCUUAUGACUUUUUGAUGUAGGACCCCAAUUUAUUUACUUGUGAUGGAUUGAAUAUUAAAAAGUUUCUUUUUCAUCAUCUUUUUCUAGUUGAAUUCAAAAUUGUUAAAAAGAUGUUUACACUAUCAAACAUUGUUUGAUGGAACAUUGUAUCAUGUUCUAUUCUUUUACAAUAUAUCAAAGUGUCGUCAGGGUUUUACUUUGUAUAUAGAAACAAGAGAGAUUAUUCCUUCGAAUUCUCAAGUCAAUAUUAACAUUAUUAUAAAAAUUACCAAAGUAUGUCAACAAUGUGCAAAUUUAUAUACAUCAAUAUAACUUAAGCCUUACAUAUUUGCGAAUCAGCAUACACACACCAGUUACAUCAUCACAUAACUUGUGAUCAUCAUGUUAUACAAACUAACAGUUAUAAAUAUUAAAUAAAAUACAAAAAAAAUGAAUCAAAACUUAACUGAAAUGAAAAUAAAAUCAAUUGACAAAUAUAAUAUAACUUUAAAACCCUGUAGCAUAUACAUGCACCAAAACCACUUCAAUUCAAUACCAGCAAUAUGAUUUUUUUGCAAUCCAGAGCCACUGCACACACAAAAUAUCAAAAACUAUUUACCUUCGUAUCUAAACCAAGUGAACCUGAGCUCACACUCAACUUUUGGUGGGGUUUGGGUUGUUCAGCUUUGUCUUUACCAGGCUAGAUUUUGUGUAUUGUAGUGUUGUUUACCUUUUCGUAUUUUUCGAGUUUUGCCAUGGUAUUGUUAGUUCUUUUUCGACCUUUGGUAUAUUUCGCCUUACUUGUGCGCCCUUUUUUCUUACUAAAAAACCACCAGUAUACAACUCCAACUACGUGAAAUUCUCAGUCAUUUCAUUAUUAAUCCUAUAUGCUAAAUUAAGGAUUGUUUAUCGUAUACGCUUUUUGUAUUGUGUUAACAGCAGUCGCAAAGGUAUGUGUCACAAAUUUUCAUUUCCUUUUUUUCAUUUUUUUUUCAGAACAAACUCCACAUUAAACAAUGUCAU